CCUACGGGAGGCUGCAGUGGGGAAUCUUCCGCAAUGGACGAAAGUCUGACGGAGCAACGCCGCGUGAGUGAAGAAGGAUUUCGGUUCGUAAAGCUCUGUUGUUAGGGAAGAAUGAUUGUGUAGUAACUAUACACAGUAGAGACGGUACCUAACCAGAAAGCCACGGCUAACUACGUGCCAGCAGCCGCGGUAAUACGUAGGUGGCAAGCGUUGUCCAGAAUUAUUGGGCGUAAAGCGCGCGCAGGUGGUUUAAUAAGUCUGAUGUGAAAGCCCACGGCUCAACCGUGGAGGGUCAUUGGAAACUGUUAAACUUGAGUGCAGGAGAGAAAAGUGGAAUUCCUAGUGUAGCGGUGAAAUGCGUAGAGAUUAGGAGGAACACCAGUGGCGAAGGCGACUUUUUGGCCUGUAACUGACACUGAGGCGCGAAAGCGUGGGGAGCAAACAGGAUUAGAUACCCUGGUAGUC
rnacentral:rRNA from 1 species